UACAGAGGGUGCAAGCGUUGUUCGGAAUUAUUGGGCGUAAAGGGAGUGUAGGCGGUUCGUUAAGUCUUCUGUGAAAUCUACGGGCUUAGCCUGUAACGUGCAGAGGAAACUAGCGGGCUUGAGUGUCGGAGAGGAUAGGGGAAUUCCCGGUGUAGAGGUGAAAUUCGUAGAGAUCGGGAGGAACACCAGUGGCGAAGGCGCCUAUCUGGCUGACAACUGACGCUGAGACUCGAAAGCAUGGGGAGCAAACAGG
rnacentral:rRNA from 1 species